rnacentral:rRNA from 1 species
GCCUCCCUCUUUCUUCGUGCUUAACACAUGCAAGUCGAACGGAAAGGCUCCUGCUUGCAGGGGUACUCGAGUGGCGAACGGGUGAGUAACACGUGGGUGAUCUGCCCUGCACUUCGGGAUAAGCCUGGGAAACUGGGUCUAAUACCGGAUAGGACGAUGGUUUGGAUGCCAUUGUGGAAAGUUUUUUCGGUGUGGGAUGAGCUCGCGGCCUAUCAGCUUGUUGGAGGGGUAAUGGCCUACCAAGGCGUCGACGGGUAGCCGGCCUGAGAGGGUGUACGGCCACAUUGGGACUGAGAUACGGCCCAGACUCCUACGGGAGGCAGCAGUGGGGAAUAUUGCACAAUGGGCGCAAGCCUGAUGCAGCGACGCCGCGUGGGGGAUGACGGCCUUCGGGUUGUAAACUCCUUUCGCUAGGGACGAAGCGCAAGUGACGGUACCUGGAGAAGAAGCACCGGCUAACUACGUG